UACGUAGGGUCCGAGCGUUGUCCGGAAUUACUGGGCGUAAAGAGCUCGUAGGUGGUUUGUCGCGUUGUUCGUGAAAACUCACAGCUUAACUGUGGGCGUGCGGGCGAUACGGGCAGACUAGAGUACUGCAGGGGAGACUGGAAUUCCUGGUGUAGCGGUGAAAUGCGCAGAUAUCAGGAGGAACACCGGUGGCGAAGGCGGGUCUCUGGGCCGAAACUGACGCUGAGGAGCGAAAGCGUGGGGAGCAAACAGG
rnacentral:rRNA from 1 species